rnacentral:misc_RNA from 1 species
UGUAAUAUUGACAUGAAAAAUAGCAAAUGGGUUGUAAGUCUUUCCUAGAUAAUAAACAGCCCUCCCCAUUGCAUCAACAGUAUGUAAAUUAAACUGAUGACAGAAUCUACAUCAAGUGAAAGAUAGAUAAAAGAACAGUUGUUACCAUUCAUUGUAUCAUACAAAUGGUCAAGGUCAGCUAGUCGGGAUCAGGUGAACGACUUAGGGCCACUUUGUCGCUCCUGUCUAUUAAAUUAUUGUAUGGGUGAAAGGUAGAUUCAGGUUCCAUUUUACUGUUCAGUGAAAGUAGUUGUAAGCUAAAUAAUCUACAAAAAUGGUUUUAAAAUGAAACUGAAAAUUAUAAGAAAUCUUAAUUCCAGUAUUAAUGAUUUUUUUCUACUAUAAAGUGUUAUGAAUAUGAGCCCAAGUUUUCUUUUCUGAGUAGUUUUAUAUUUGUCAUAAUCUUCUUCCUUAUAUGUAAUGUUAAAAUAGGCUUUACUUGAAAGUUUAUGAUGACAUAUAUUCAAAGUCUCCUGGUCAGGAUCAAGUGAGAGACUUUAGACCCUGUUGUUAGUUUUAUUUCUUUAUUACAGGUCAGCAGGUGGAAAACUGGUAGAUGCCACUCCAGAGACCAUGAAAGAGUUCCAAUUUGAAAUAGAUCGCUUACAAAAUCAGUACAAAGCUGCAGGCCAAGAUAUGACCAAAUUUCCGUCUUUCAACUUUGUUGAUAAAGAAUUGGAAACAGCUCCAACGCAGGAAGAUAGAGAUCCUAAAGACCUACCAUUGUAGAAUAUGUGUAUCUAUAGGAAAAUUAUUGUGGUUUGGACUUGUUAACAUAAAAGCAAACGUUUAUACAUUUAUUGUAUAUAAAUGUGUUUAUAGAAAAAAGUAAACUUUGAAUCAGUGAUAUUAGAUUCAAAAAUAUGUUUUUAGUGCAUUGGUAUUUUGAAACAAAGUUUGCUUUUGUUUCCAAAUGAAAUAUAUUUAAGGAAUAGUA